rnacentral:tRNA from 1 species
AAGGGCUUAGCUUAAUUAAAAUGGUUGAUUUGCAUUCAAUUGAUGCAGAAUAGAGUCUUGCAGUCCUUA